GAAUUUGUACUGUCGCUUCCAGCACCCUUUCUCUCUGAGCUGUGUGAGUGGAGCUAUCAGACGGUGUGACAAGCCACUCCAGAAGCUGCAUUCGUCAAUGGAGCAGGGAAAUACAGAAACAGACCACUUCUUUGCUCUGGGAAGCUGCAUUCACGAAAGCUCCGUAUGAACACUGGAAAGCAAAGAGAGAUGCAGGCAAUGAAGAACAUCAAGGGACAAAACUCACACUGCUGGAGGCCCACAAAAUGCCAGUGCUGGAACUGGAACACAAUCCACACACGUGGGUCUAUGGAGUUUCAUGCCUCUAACUUUUCCCUGUGGUAAGCAGCGUUCAUCUCAUUGCGGAGCCGGUCAUUUUCCCGAGCAAUGUCAGAAGCAUUUUGAAUGACCAAGGCAUCGUAUGUUUUCAAUCCCAUGUCC